rnacentral:rRNA from 1 species
UACGUAGGGGGCAAGCGUUGUCCGGAAUCAUUGGGCGUAAAGAGCGUGUAGGCGGUUCGGUAAGUCCGCUGUGAAAGUCCAGGGCUCAACCCUGGAAUGCCGGUGGAAACUGUCGAGCUAGAGUCCGGAAGAGGCGAGUGGAAUUCCCGGUGUAGCGGUGAAAUGCGCAGAUAUCAGGAGGAACACCAAUGGCGAAGGCAGCUCGCUGGGACGGUACUGACGCUGAGACGCGAAAGCGUGGGGAGCAAACAGG